CCUACGGGAGGCAGCAGUGGGGAAUAUUGGGCAAUGGGCGCAAGCCUGAUCCAGCCAUGCCGCGUGUAUGAAGCAGGCCUUCGGGUUGUAACAUACUUUUGACAGGGAGGAGUAGAGGACGGUACCUGUCUAUUAUCAUAGGCCUAACUCCGUGCAAGCAGACGCGGUAAUACGUAGGUGGCAAGCGUUGUACGGAUUUACUGGGUGUAAAGGGCAGGAAGCCGGUUUGACAAGUCAGAUGUGAAAUCCUGCGGCUUAACCGCAGAACUGCAUUUGAAACUGGUAAGCUUGAGUACUGUAGAGGGAGACAGAAUUCCUGGUGUAGCGGUGAAAUGCGUAGAGAUCAGGAGGAACACCAGUGGCGAAGGCGGUCCGCUGGAC
rnacentral:rRNA from 1 species